rnacentral:rRNA from 1 species
UACGUAGGGGGCAAGCGUUGUCCGGAAUUAUUGGGCGUAAAGCGCACGUAGGCGGAUCGAUCAGUCAGGGGUGAAAUCCCAGGGCUCAACCCUGGAACUGCCUUUGAUACUGUCGAUCUGGAGUAUGGAAGAGGUGAGUGGAAUUCCGAGUGUAGAGGUGAAAUUCGUAGAUAUUCGGAGGAACACCAGUGGCGAAGGCGGCUCACUGGUCCAUUACUGACGCUGAGGUGCGAAAGCGUGGGGAGCAAACAGG